rnacentral:ncRNA from 1 species
GUCGAAUUUAGAACGGGGGAAGUCCGGUGAAAUUCCGGCACUGUGCCGCAACGGUUAGAGUCCGAAUGCCUGCUUCGUC